AUCAAUAAGCGGAGGAAAAGAAACCAACAGGGAUUGCCCCAGUAACGGCGAGUGAAGCGGCAACAGCUCAAAUNUGAAAUCUGGCCCUAGGCCCGAGUUGUAAUUUGCAGAGGAUGCUUUUGGCGCGGUGCCUUCCGAGUUCCCUGGAACGGGACGCCAUAGAGGGUGAGAGCCCCGUACGGUUGGACACCAAGUCUUUGUAAAGCUCCUUCGACGAGUCGAGUAGUUUGGGAAUGCUGCUCAAAAUGGGAGGUAUAUUUCUUCUAAAGCUAAAUAUUGGCCAGAGACCGAUAGCGCACAAGUAGAGUGAUCGAAAGAUGAAAAGCACUUUGAAAAGAGGGUUAAACAGCACGUGAAAUUGUUAAAAGGGAAGCGCUUGUGACCAGACUUGCGUCCGGUGAAUCACCCAGCUCUCGCGGCUGGGGCAUUUUGCCGGCUCAGGCCAGCAUCAGCUUGCCGUCGGGGACAAAAGCUUCGGGAACGUAGCUCUCUUCGGGGAGUGUUAUAGCCCGUUGCAUAAUACCCUUCGGUGGGCUGAGGUACGCGCUCCGCAAGGAUGCUGGCGUAAUGGUCAUCAGCGACCCGUCUUGAAACACGGACCAAGGAGUCAACCUUAUGUGCGAGUGUUUGGGUGUUAAACCCCUACGCGUAAUGAAAGUGAACGCAGGUGAGAGCUUCGGCGCAUCAUCGACCGAUCCUGAUGUUCUCGGAUGGAUUUGAGUAAGAGCAUAUAGGGUUGGACCCGAAAGAAGGUGAACUAUGCGUGUAUAGGGUGAAGCCAGAGGAAACUCUGGUGGAGGCUCGCAGCGGUUCUGACGUGCAAAUCGAUCGUCAAAUAUGCGCAUGGGGGCGAAAGACUAAUCGAACCUUCUAGUAGCUGGUUUC
rnacentral:sRNA from 1 species